ACGGUGAUCACGUGGUGCAUCUCC
rnacentral:siRNA from 1 species